AGUGAACGCUGGCGGUAGGCCUAACACAUGCAAGUCGAACGGCACCACAGUAAGAGCUUGCUCUUACGGGUGGCGAGUGGCGGACGGUUGAGGAAUACAUCGGAAUCUACUUUUUCGUGGGGGAUAACGUAGGGAAACUUACGCUAAUACCGCAUACGACCUACGGGUGAAAGCAGGGGAUCUUCGGACCUUGCGCGAUUGAAUGAGCCGAUGUCGGAUUAGCUAGUUGGCGGGGUAAAGGCCCACCAAGGCGACGAUCCGUAGCUGGUCUGAGAGGAUGAUCAGCCACACUGGAACUGAGACACGGUCCAGACUCCUACGGGAGGCAGCAGUGGGGAAUAUUGGACAAUGGGGGAAAGCCUGAUCCAGCCAUACCGCGUGGGUGAAGAAGGCCUUCGGGUUGUAAAGCCCUUUUGUUGGGAAAGAAAAGCAGCAGGUUAAUACCCCGCUGUUCUGACGGUACCCAAAGAAUAAGCACCGGCUAACUUCGUG
rnacentral:rRNA from 1 species